rnacentral:rRNA from 1 species
AGCAUAUCAAUAAGCGGAGGAAAAGAAAAUAACAAUGAUUCCCUCAGUAACGGCGAGCGAAGAGGGAUAAGCUCAAAUUUUAAAUCUGUUGGGUUCCACUUAACAGAGUUGUAUUUUGAAGAAACGUUUUCUGCGUCCAGGAUUAGCCUAAAUCCUUUGGGAUAAGGUAUCAUGGAGGGUGAGAAUCCCGUUCAUGGUUAAUCUUAAGGAAGCUCUACGAUACGUUUUCCAAGAGUCGAGUUGUUUGGGAUUGCAGCUCAAAAUGGGAGGUAAAUUUCUCCUAAGGCUAAAUAUUGGCGAGAGACCGAUAGCGAACAAGAACCGUGAGGGAAAGAUGAAAAGAACUUUGAAAAGAGAGUUAAACAGUACGUGAAAUUGUUGAAAGGGAAACGAUUGAAGUCAGUCAUACCAACGGGAAAUCAACCUUUUGAGCUCGGUCUCGUGGGUUUUGAAGAGUUUCAAAGCCUUCGGAUUCGCGGGAUUGGGAUCUCUCGGUGUACUUUUUCGUACGGUUAGUCAACAUCGGUUUUGAAUGUCAUAAAAUGACUGGAGGAAUGUAGCUUCGAUCUCGUAUUGAAGUGUUAUAGCCUUUGGUAGAUGUGAUGUUUGAGACCGAGGAUUGCAACGGAUACCCUUCAGGGCUAUUCGUCUGAUCUCUGAUACGUUGCCUUGAUGUUGAAAGCUUGCUUAUGAUGUUAGGGUAUUACGGUCAAAAGGUUAGAACGGAUUAGAUUCGUUAAGGAUGUUGACGUAAUGACUUUAAACGACCCGUCU